ensembl:lncRNA
AAAUGAGUGAGGGUCUUCAGAUUGCCUCUUACACCACCCCGUGACUGACGAUUGCCCUCAAGAGAUCUUCAGCAGGGUUCUGUAGUGUCGUUGUGAAGUCUUCAGGACUCGUCUAGUGUUGGCAGCAUAUACCAGAGAAGGGGAAAAAAAGAAAAAGGAGGGGAAAAGAGAACAGGGAAAAUAGUAAAACAAUAACAAUAAUUAGUAUAAAUUGAAUCAAUAUUAAUUGGAACAAUUUUCUAAUCAAUAAACAAUGAGUUGAUUAAAUGAUAUUAAAACAAUUCUUUAACAAUAAACUAAUAAAACAAUCUUUAAGAAUUCAAAUCAGGUUUUCUAAGUGACUAAAACAAACAAUCUUCCAAUCUUAUAAUUGCUUUGUGUCUAUAGUCCUGGGGAUGUCUAUAGUAUAAAGCACAUCGGCCAAGUGGUGUGCAUUAAUUAUAGCUGUCAAUUUUGUUAAUCGUUUUAUCAUUCUCCAAUUCAUAAUAAGCAAGAUUGCUGAUAAAGCAAAGGCAAUCAAAACUAAAAUCCAAAGGACAACAAUGGGAUGACACAAUUUGUUCAGGAUACCUGUAGCAGUAGGUGACCACCCAAAAAGUGUAUCCCACCACCUAUGUUCUGCAUCACUUUUUACUCUUUCUAUAACCCGAUGUAUUUCUUGUACAUCAUGAUGAAUAGUUACCAGUGUUUUCUGUCCGUUCUCCUUGAUUUUUCCUAAGAUUUCAAUUAAGUCCUGGUGAAGCAACAAUUGCCUUACCAGAGUAAGAUUCAUUCCAAUGGGGGUAGGCAAUAGCUUAUGGAUCAGCGUGUAAUUAGAUUCUAAAAGUUGAUAUGAAGUAACUGGAGCUUCAAAAGAAAAAUCACAUCCUGUAAUUUUAGUGAAAUUGCAAGCACAAAAAUUUGAAUGAUUUUUAGUAUCUACUACUGUGUCUUCUACAUACACUGUGUUACAAGCAGUUCUAAAGCAUGCACAUCCAUUGCCUAUAUAUACAAGGAAUGUUUUAGGAGUUUCGUUAGGAUGGAUUUCAAAGUGACAGGUAUUUUGUUCAGUGUCCAGACAAAUAUCCUGAGCUAUAAUUGCAUUGCCUUCACAGAUGAACCCUUGUUGUUCUUGGACAAUACAAGAUUCUAAGUUAACAGUUUGCCAUUUAUCAUCAAUAUGUCGGGCCCAUUCUCUAUGCUCGGAAGGAUAGAGAGUGGCUCCAUCAUGAUUCAAUCCUAAUGCAAUGAUGGGGAAUAUUGAAUGCACGGAGGCAUUGCGUAUGGUUAACACAAAAGCUGUGGCUAAGUUUGCGGUGGGGUCAUAAGUAAAGUUUACCAAAUUCCACCAGGAUUGGAAAUCCUUUUCAAAGUCAGUGGCACUGUCCCAAACUAUCUUCCGAAUUUCCAUAGGAAACGUGCCUUCUUCACCUUCUCUUAUAAGUGAAGCAGCAACUGACUGCAUCCAUAAUUGUGCCUGGAUGCAGCUAAGGGCUAAGGAAACGUUGCUUUGUGUAGCAUUGAGUGCAUCAAUUAUCAAUUCGUGGUCAUUCAGAUUUACCUUUUCCCAAUUUGGUAAUAUGUUUGUUAGCAACCACUGAUGCGUUCCCACGGCUGAUAAGGAUGAUUGCAAUGGUUGUUGUAAUUGGGUCAAAUCUUUAGUUGUAGCAGCCAAUUUAUUUAAUAAUACUUCUGAAUUAAUACUAUUUAGAAUUCCCAAUCCUGUUCCCACAACACCAGUUAUGUCUCUUGGUAUCCGUGUUUUAGAAGGGUUCCACUGUCGCAACCAGGUCGUCCACCCCUGGAAAGAAGUUUGCAAGAAAGGUGAACAAGCUGGCUGAACUUCAGAGACAUUGCUUUGCAUUAGCAAUUUAACUUGUUUAAGAGACCAUGCCAGAUUGAACAAUAUUUGUUGUUGGCCAGUUUUCCUGAUUAUAUAUGGUCCAACUUUAGAAAUUUUUGGGGUAAGCAUAACCGGUGGUUGGGUGGUAGGUAUCACAACAUUAACAUCAAGUUCUCCCCAGUAUUUAAAUCAAUACUUUAAACUUAAAAGAAAGCGCUUCAGUAUAUUUGGACCAAAGACAAACUACUUCUGCAGUUUGUGUUAAUGUGAAAUUGUGUCAACAAUCCUGUACGCUUCGGUGCGUACAAACCUUUUUGUGCUUAAAGAGAUCUUUUCACUUUUUCUGCAUGCUACCACAAUUAUUUCAGACCGCAACCACUCAGCUGGUUUCUGUCCAUGGGGUUGUGGUAGGAUGCAGGAAAGUAUUACCAGUUUUAUCAUGGAUUAGGGGGUCUUCAUGUCCCUUGGAGUUCUUCUGUAAAAGUAAACACAACAGAAUCCUGCCAGCGAGAGGCAGAAGAGGUUAGAAUGAUGGAAUUAUCCUGCAUGUAUUUAUCCAAUGCUCUUUCCCUAGAGCACCAGAGGCUUUCCAUGCACAUUUAUUCAGAGGGGGUUUUAGCACAAGUGGUACUAGCCCUAUAGUAAGGGAUGCCCACCAGAACAGGUUGGCCAGGGUAAUGUGCUGGAUUAUCAGGAUCAUUUGAUGCACAGCAUAGGAGUCAGUGUAGAGACAGACAAGAGAGGCAUUCUGUGCUUCUUGUUAGAAAACACUCCAGACAGCUCUCAGCUCCUUGACCUGAGAACUGCUUUCUCCCUCAUUAAUUAGUUCACCAGAGGAAAUGUGGGGGGCUGCUGCCCUGUAUGUCCACACCUUCCCUUCUCGUUUAGCAGAGGCAUCAGUGAACCAAGAGUUUGCUGAUUGUUCAGGGCAGAAAGGAGGGGCCACUUUGAUUACAGAGGCAGGUUUGUCCUGGCUGCUAUCCAAGCUCUCAGUUUCUUGUAUUGCCAAAUUUUUCACAGCUCCUUCUGUUACUGUAAAGAUGUUACAGUAAUGUUCAAUCUGAGCAUACCACUUUCUUACUGAGGCCCUCUGGGCCACCCCGUCAGGAGGGGGGGUCCCAGUAGUGACUGUCUUAGUAUCAUUGAAAGGGCUUCUCAAUACAAUUGGUAGUUGUAGUGCAAGUCUUUCCACUUCAAUGAGAGCCAGGCUGACCACAAACAAUCCCUUUUCCCAGGUAGUGUACCUUUUCUCAGCAUCUCUGAAACCAUGGGAAUAGAAACCAACAGGCAUUGUUGGACCCUCGGGUCCCCGCUGCCAAAUGUGUACUGACAAUCCUGAGACAGCAAAUCCCCAUUCUACCUGAAAGGGGACUGUAGGAUGAAUAGGGCCCAGUGCUUGAUGAGCAGUUGCUUCAAAAAUCAGUAAUUGCAAUGCUUCUUCCUGAGAAGGAGUUUUACCCCUUUCCUUAGCAAGUCAUAAAGGGGCCUAGCAAUUAUUGAGAAAUCUGGAAUGUGUUUUCUCCAAAACACUAAUAAUCCCAGAGCCUGUUGUAGAUCUUUCCUGGAAUGAGGCAUUUUAAUCUGAUCUAAAGAAGUUAAGGUAUCAGGUGGAAUACAUGUCAUGCCUCCUUUCCACCAAAUCCCCAGAAACUUUACUUCUUGAGAGGGUUUUUGAACCUUUUCUGGGGGGAUCUGUAAAUCGAGACUCUCUAAAUGGGAGAUUAUUUUCUGUUGAGUCUCUCUUACUGCUUCAAUUUCAUCCCCUCCCACCAAAAUAUCAUCAAUGUAUUGAUACACUGCUACAUCAUCAGGUUUGGAUAUCUCCUCUAGUUCUUUAGCUAAGGCAUGGUGGGCUAAGGUGGGUGAAUGCUUGUAUCCUUGUGGGAGUCUAGUGGAAGUGUAUUGCUGUCCUUCCCACGUAAAGGCAAAACGGUCCAUGUCUUCUGGUUGUAAUGGUAUCAUAAAGAACAUAUCUUUGACAUCUAUAGUUGCCAUAAUUGGAUGAGCUUUUUCUUGAAUAGAUGUUAUUAAUUCUGCUAAGUUUGGGACCGCUGCUGUGAGAGGAUCUGUGUUGGCAUUAAGCCUGCGAAAAUCGACUGUCAGUCUCCAUUUCCCAUUAGGUUUUCGGACUGGCCAGACGGGUGAGUUGAGGCUGGGGCUGGGGCUGGGGCAGCCAGCCCGACACAACCAAACCCCCAUGGUGGGAGCAGAGGUGGGACUCCAGACCCUGUGCAGGGGCUGCUUUGCUUUGCAGGCAAGGAAGGGCUUGGGCUGCUCCUCUGCCCUUGUUUGCUUUGGGAACACCAUGGGGGCAGUGCAGAGAGAAGGGAGAAAGCCUGGGAUUCCCUCACCCAUGGUGGGUUUUUCCCUGGCAAGCAGGGGUUGGACCUUCCUCAAGUCCCUGACAGAGAUAAGAUUUUUGACCUUUAUCCUCACUCCUCUUUUUGUCUGUAAUCUAUUUUCAGUAAUUCGAUGUUUGUUUUUCUAGAGGAAGCGUUCUAUGUAAGGUCCAGUCUGGAUCAGGAAGUGCUUGGGAGCAGCUGCGGCGUGGAUGGGCCGUGCCCUUGGAGAAGGCUGAGGACAUCGUUUGGGACCAGCUUUUCUCCCAGCGGUGGAUGGCGUGAGCCGGGCUCUGCGGGUGCUGAGGCUGCUCUGGGCCCUGCCAGGGCUCUGCUGGAGCUCAGCACCGGGCUGCAAUCAGCAAAAGGAGAAAUGGGGUGCCCUGCAGCACAGACUUGCUUGAGCAUUUCAGCAACACAGUUCAAGUCUGCAGAGUGUACACCUCCAAGGGAAAACAUGGCACCACCCAAAAAAUAAACUUGUUCAAUAACUUCUGAAAUUAAAUCAAUCUGGGAUGACCUCAAAUGACAUUUUGCAGCUUGCUCAAGCUGUAGCCCAGCCCUUCUCUAACCAGUUCUCUCCCCCACCUGCCUAUUACUCCCCAACUGCUCCCUAUUUUCCGUCAGUGAGCUCCCAGCCCAUUCCAGUCUCCAUCACACUGUUGCCUUCCUUGGUGCCCCUCACCAUGAGGAAGGCCGAGCCCCAGGCUUAGGGACUCAUCCUGUCACUGGCUGAGGAGCAGCAAUGUCUCAGAGCUCCGGUGGGAUUUUAGUGUCAUUCAGAGCUGCUCUCCAGCCCCCAGCUCUCCUCACUGCUGAGUUCCCGCUCCCUUUUCCUCAUCUGUGCAGCAGGAUGAGCUCUGUGAAUCCCCUUGAGCCUCCCCACUCUUCCCAGCCCACGCACCCACCUCGGUUAGGCUGAAGCUGCAGCUUCUCUGUCUCCUCUGGCACAGCAGUGCAGUCCCCUGUGCGGGGAGCCCCAGCCCCAGAGCACAGCACUCAGCAGUGCAGUCGGGGCUGGAGCAGCUGCCCUGCAGCCCUGGCUUGGCUCUUUGUGGCAGGGAAUGCUCCCUGUUUGCAGCUGUCCCUGCAGGAUAGCCCCAGGGCAGAGCCCAGCUGGGCUCCCACUGCAGCCCCUGAAGCUGUGAAACCAGUGAAAUCAUCCAGACUGUGUUUUUCAAAGGCCCUUAGAAGGAAGGGCUUGAGAAUAAA